rnacentral:rRNA from 1 species
GGAAUAUUGGACAAUGGUGGGAACACUGAUCCAGCCAUGCCGCGUGCAGGAAGACUGCCCUAUGGGUUGUAAACUGCUUUUUUACGGGAAGAAACACUCCCACGUGUGAGAGCUUGACGGUACCGUGGGCAUAAGGAUCGGCUAACUCCGUGCCAGCAGCCGCGGUAAUACGGAGGAUCCGAGCGUUAUCCGGAAUCAGUGGGUUUAAAGGGUCCGUAGGCGGACUUGUAAGUCAGUGGUGAAAUCCGGCAGCUCAACUGUCGAACUGCCAUUGAUACUGUGAGUCUUGAAUUACUAUGAAGUGGUUAGAAUAUGUAGUGUAGCGGUGAAAUGCUUAGAUAUUACAUGGAAUACCAAUUGCGAAGGCAGAUCACUAAUAGUAUAUUGACGCUGAGGGACGAAAGCGUGGGUAGCGAAC